rnacentral:lncRNA from 1 species
UGUGGUGGGGUUGCAGUGGAUUAGGGUGGGGUUGUGGUUAGGGUUGAGGGGAUUGGGAUGAGGUAGGGCUGAAGUGCGGUGGGUUUGGGAGGUGACUGCAGUGGAUUGGGGUGGUGUUGUGGUGAGGAGAGGUAGACUAUGCGGUUUGGAGUGGGGUGAGGUUUAGGGCAGUAGUGAGAUGGGGUUGGGUUGAGGGGGAUUGUGGUGAGGUUUGGAGUGGGGGGAGGUUUAGGGCAGUAGUGAGGUGGGGUUGGGUUGAGGUGGGGUAAGGUGGGGGUUGGACAAGGUGGUGUGUUUUCAUCCAAGCUGUAGAUCCAGUAAAAUGUUUCUGAUUGUUUUGAAAUGUUUGUCAUUUUGUGAAUGAUUUCAUAUUCCUUUGCUUGUUAUCUUCUUAAAAUUACUUAUAUCUGAAUUUAGACAGAGCUUUUUACUUUGUGUUUUUGUGGUUUUUGCUAUCAGCCACUUAUCAUGUUGUUGCACCUACCUGUGUUUUGUGAGUCCCUUUCAGUAUUACCUGGCCCCUCACUAUGUCAGUGAUCCUUUAUAACACAUGAAUAAUAUGUAUAUAGACUGCUCCUGUCUAGACAUUGCAAGAAACUUGUAUAAUGUUACAAACAAAUUAAAGCUUUCUGACUACAUGUAUUUCAAGAUUCUUCUAAUCACUUAUACUCUGGUGGUUUGAUAUCCGGGAUAGUUAUCACAUGCAGGAAAGAGUUGUUUGAGUCGGUCAUGCAGGGAACAUGUGUAACAUUAUUACAAGCAAAUUAAAGAAUUUUGACUAUUUCAAGAUUCUUCUAAUCACUUGUACUCUGGUACUCCGGUUCGAUGUCCGGGAUAGUUUCAGUGUUAUCACAAGUAGGAAGGAAAGAUCUGAUUUGGUCAUGUACGGACAUUGGAGGGAACGUGUAACAUUAUUACAAGCAAAUUAAAGAAUUUUGACUAUUUCAAGAUUCUUCUAAUCACUUGUACUCUGGUACUCCGGUUCGAUGUCCCGGAUAGUUUCAGUGUUAUCACAAGUAGGAAGGAAAGAUCUUAUUUGGUCAUGUACGGACAUUGGAGGGAACAUGUGUAAUAUUAUUACAAGCAAAUUAAAGAUUUUUGACUAUUUCAAGAUUCUUCUAAUCACUUGUACCCUCGUGGUUGGAUGUCCGGGAUAGUUUCAGUGUUAUCACAUGCUGGGCAAUGAAGUAACUCUGACGUCUUCCAAAUUUCAACGUUUUACACUCGUGCAGGAUGUCAAACUCAUUUGUCGAGUCACGUACAGAUUCCACCACUCCUUGUCUGGGUGUGCAAUGUACCCCUGCCAUGUAGAUUGCUGUGAUAUUCAAAGUAAUAUGCGCUCAUGAAAUGACCUGUUCUGUCAACAGUGGCCUUUACGUUAGUGCCUACUCCACCAGGACAUAUGGCUGGCUAUCCAUCGUACAUGUAAAAGAAUAUCCGUUGAUCUGAUCAUUGUGAUUUUUGUGAACAUUAUCAUUGUAGCUCAUUAAAUGUAGUCAGAUUCAAUACUCGUCAUUGUGACCAUCUGAGGUCGCCUCCAUAGGUGGGCAUAUUGGGUGAACCAGAUUUGGUCAGUUGAAGACUGGGUUCAGUUGUCAGCUGUCUCAAUUGAUUCUGUUUCAUUUCCUUGUCCCUAGUGAUGUUUCGAUGAUCGAAACUAAUCGAAAAUCGAUCGAAAGAAGGAUUAAAAUGAUUAUCGAUUGUAAAAAACAUAUUUUCGAUUAA